ensembl:lncRNA
CCUUGAUGGGGAAGAGACGUGGGGACUUCACCACACAGACUUGUCGCUCCCCGCUCAAAAAGUCACAUCCAUUUUAGACAGCCAAGAAAUAGCCCCAGCAGUGGCACCUGCUCCACCUGAGGACAUCUGCCCGAAAUCAGACGUCUGGCCCCCCGCUUUGGGCGGUUGAGGGAAACCAAGCAGAACCACGUUUGAGGAAUAAGGAACCAGCUGUUGAAUCACGAGCCGAUUCAUUCCUUGUUACUAUAUGAAGAUCCGGCACUGUGACCCCUUCAGGGUUCCCUCACCAUAUCUAAGAUGCCGGAUACAGACAAGCGUUCCACAGCCUCAAGACAACUUAAAAACUCUGACUCCACAUAGCUCAGAUUUUUCUUUUCCGUGAGAAGACAAAGGCUCAGAGAGGUAACACCUGAAGGCCCCAAAGCAUGUCAGCAACACCAGAAGAUCACCGAUCUUCAGCUUUCCAGACGGUGUUUUCCCAGUAUCUGCUGCUGCCUCAGCCAUCCCUCAUCCUUCAGUGCUCCCACACUGCCUGUGACACGUACACACUCAAAUAUCACUCAUGUAUGCACUAAGGUCUCCAGGAAGAUAAUAAUCCCAGAGUGUUAUUCACAGGAAGUGGACAGCACUUCCUUUAUGCACUUUAUACAUAUGAAUGCAUUAAUCCUUACAAUAACCCUGGAGGUAGCUACUACUAUUAUCCCUACACAGACAUGAAUUUGAGCAAGCUCCGGAAGUUGGUGAUGGACAGGGAGGCCUGGCGUGCUGCAGUCCAUGCAAAAAGUCUUAUACGACUGAGCUACUGAACUGAACUAAACGGUUGCACAGUAUUGUAAAUGGGCUUCCCUUGUAGGUCAGUUGAUAAAGAAUCCGCCCGCAAUGCAGGAGACCAGGG